rnacentral:lncRNA from 1 species
AAAUGAAAAUCUCAGCCCUGAGCCCCAGAAACAGCAGGAAGAAUCAAAUAUGGGGAAGAAAGGUGCUUGCGGUAUCAGAAUGGCCUGGCAUCCCAAUGAUGUUUAGAUUAUGGACUUAAGAUUGAUGCUUGCGGCUUGUGAACAUCAAGUCUGUUACUUCUAACUAUACACUACCACACGAUGGAUAGUGACACUUUUAUUAAUAACAGAGGAAGAGUGUCAUCUUAAAAUCAAGUUUUUAAAGACUGUGACUAUUUGAUUCUGUGGGAAAAGAAGGACAUAAAACUAUAAAUUGUGGUCCAAAUUUUAUUUUGAAAUAUAUAUCUGAAAGGAAAUAUACCUGAUAUAAAUAAUGCUUACUAUGAUAGAGGACUUAAGGUGCUUUUAAAUUUUUUUCCUGUAUUAUCCAAAGAUAUUAUAGCCAAGAAAAAGUAAGUAAAAAAAGAAAAUAUAAAACCUAUGAGUACUGUCUUUACAUGAGUUAAGUGCAAACAUUCUUAUUUUUGGUAGUUUGAACAUUUGUUUUCACAUCAUUGUUUUCAUUAUCGUUAUUUGCAGUUGAUACUAAGCCUGUCUCUUCAAAUAUUACCUUUUGUUUUUCCUCGCUAUUUAGUUUCUUUUAUUUUUCAACUUUCUUCACUAGAAGGGCCAACUAGAAGUCAGCACAUCCCUCUCUUCUCAAGGGAGCAAGCUUCUUCCUCCCAAAGCUAACAGUUGAGAGUUUCCAUAGAGUGUUACUACAAAAGUCUACAUCCUCUAGUCUUAUUUUAAGAUAUCUUUUCUCUUCUUAAACUUGUUUCUUAAUUAGCUUAUUCAUUAUACCUAAUCCACACUGAGAAUAUCUUAAACUAUAACUGUUGGGGUUACUAAAUAGAAAUAGGAUCUCAUACAAGACAAGAGUCCUACAAUUUUUUUUUUUUUUGGAGAAUAGUUGCUUUACAAUGUUGAGUUAAUUUCUACUAUUCAGCAAAGUGAAUCAGCCACACAUGUACGUAUGUCCCUUCUUCCUUCGAUUUCCUUCUUCUUUAGGUCACCACAGAGCACUGAGUAGAGUUUCCUGUGCUAUACAGUCAGUGCUUAUUAGUUU